rnacentral:rRNA from 1 species
AACGAACGCUGGCGGCAUGCCUAACACAUGCAAGUCGAACGAGACCUUCGGGUUUAGUGGCGCACGGGUGCGUAACGCGUUGGAUCCUGCCCUUAGGUUCGGAAUAACUCUCGGAAUGGGGUGCUAAUACGGGAUCAUGUCUCCGGACCAAAGAUUUAUCGACUUUGGAGGGGCCUGCGUUGUAUUAGCUUGUUGGUAGGGUAAAAGGCUACCAAGGGGACGUUUCAUAGCUGGUCAGAGAGGAAGAUCAGCCACACUGGUAUGGAGACGCGGCCCAGACUCCUACGGGAGGCACCAGUGGGUGAUAUUGCAAAGUGGGCGAAAGCCUGAUCCAGCAAUGCCGGUUGAGUAAUGAAGGCCUGAAGGUUGUAAAGCUCUUUUACCCGGGAUGAUAAUGACAGUACCGAGAGAAUAAGCUCCGGCUAACUCCGUG